UUUAAGUGUAAUUGUGAGUUUUCGUGUCCAAUGUUUGAUCAUCCGUCUUAUUUGAUUUUUUUUAUGAUUAGUAUUUUUAUUGUUAUUAGAUGAAAAAAACAUGAAUAAUACUGUGUGUGUGUGAUAUUUUUUAAUUUUUUCUAAAUAAGACGCAUCAAACAUUAAUCACGUAAAGCAAAAG
rnacentral:pre_miRNA from 1 species